rnacentral:rRNA from 1 species
GAUGAACGCUGGCGGCGUGCCUAAUACAUGCAAGUCGAGCGAACAGACGAGGAGCUUGCUCCUCUGACGUUAGCGGCGGACGGGUGAGUAACACGUGGAUAACCUACCUAUAAGACUGGGAUAACUUCGGGAAACCGGAGCUAAUACCGGAUAAUAUAUUGAACCGCAUGGUUCAAUAGUGAAAGACGGUUUUGCUGUCACUUAUAGAUGGAUCCGCGCCGCAUUAUCUAGUUGGUAAGGUAACGGCUUACCAAGGCAACGAUGCGUAGCCGACCUGAGAGGGUGAUCGGCCACACUGGAACUGAGACACGGUCCAGACUCCUACGGGAGGCAGCAGUAGGGAAUCUGCCGCAAUGGGCGAAAGCCUGACGGAGCAACGCCGCGUGAGUGAUGAAGGUCUUCGGAUCGUAAAACUCUGUUAUUAGGGAAGAACAAAUGUGUAAGUAACUAUGCACGUCUUGACGGUACCUAAUCAGAAAGCCACGGCUAACUACGUG